rnacentral:misc_RNA from 1 species
AAAAAGGAAUAAGUUGGUAAUUCGUUUAGUUUUGAGUGUUCAAAGAAUACUCAAGCACAAUGAAAACUGAAUACAAAUAUUAGAUCAAAAAAUUUCUAAAAAGAAAACAGAUUUACAAAACCGAGAAACAAAAGAAGUAAGUAAGUGAAAAAACUUAUUCACAAAAAGAGUUCAAGGAAGAAAACGAAGCAAAAAGCUACACACGA